GGGAAAGUUGCAAAGCACUUUGAAGAGAGAGUUAAAGAGGACGUGAAACCGGUAAGGUGGAAACGGAUAGAGUCGGCGUAUCAUUCAAUUAUUCAGUUACAUUAUUUUUAUGUUGUGACCUCUGAGCUCCAGAUUGGGACAGAGGGAAUCAGCAUAAUUUUUUGUGGUGCAUUUACUUGAUUGGUGCUUGGGGAUGUUUGAGGCAGAUUUGUUUCCGUCGUUUUGAGGCCAGCUUGCUGGUACCCAAACGGUGUUAGCAUUUUUUGUCUUGGGCAUUUGAGUAUGGCUCACGUGUAUUUAUUGGACAGAUCUGAGUGUAAGUUACGGUCGCAUGCGACACGUGCUUUUCAAUUAGUUCGGUCCAGUUAAUGCUCUCGUACUCGUUCCCCAUGUAAAAGCCGGUCAUCUAUCCGACCCGUCUUGAAACACGGACCAAGGAGUUUAUCGUGUGCGCAAGUUUUUGGGUGUUAAAAACUUAAAAGCGAAAUGAAAGUAAAUGACUCUUUAGAGUCUGAUGUGCGAUCUUGUAAAAAAGUGUAGCAUGGCCCCAUUCUAACUGUUUACAGUAGGGUGGCGGAAGAGCGUACGCGGUGAGACCCGAAAGAUGGUGAACUAUUCCUGAGCAGGACGAAGCCAGAGGAAACUCUGGUGGAAGUCCGAAGCGGUUCUGACGUGCAAAUCGAU
rnacentral:rRNA from 1 species